rnacentral:rRNA from 1 species
UACGGGGGGAGCAAGCGUUGUUCGGAUUUACUGGGCGUAAAGGGCGCGUAGGCGGCGCAACAAGUCACUUGUGAAAUCUCCGGGCUUAACCCGGAGCGGCCAAGUGGUACUGUCGUGCUAGAGUGCGGAAGGGGCUACUGGAAUUCUCGGUGUAGCGGUGAAAUGCGUAGAUAUCGAGAGGAACACCUGCGGCGAAGGCGGGUAGCUGGGCCGACACUGACGCUGAGGCGCGAAAGCUAGGGGAGCGAACGGG